GUGAACCGGAACUGUAUGUGAAAAGAACAAAAUAGACUACAAACAGUAAUAAACUGCAGGACUUUUGAUAUAACCUGUAAAAGAUGGUGAAAAGCCUGGAGGGGACAUGUUAUGUGGAGUGGCUGAGGUCACUUGGUUUGUUCAGCCUGGAGAAAAGGAAACUGAGGAGAGGCCUCAUUGCGGUCUUCAACAUCCUCACAAGGGGAAUUGGAGGGGCAGUCCUACUUCUUGCCAGUGCAUUUUGCUGAACUUUCAUAAAUUCUGAACUUGCAUAACACCACAGACAGUCAAUACUUUCAAAAACUGAAGAUAUCUUGUUUCUCUGAAGCAGUA